rnacentral:rRNA from 1 species
AAUUAUUUAUUUGAUGGUUUCUUACUACAUGGAUAACCGUAGUAAUUCUAGAGCUAAUACAUGCGUAAAGUCCCGACUCUCGCGGGGAGGGAUGUAUUUAUUAGAUUAAAAACCAAUGCGGGCUCUGCCCGGUUUUGUGGUGAAUCAUAGUAACUUUUCGAAUCGCAUGGCUUCACGCCGGCGAUAGUUCAUUCAAAUUUCUGCCCUAUCAGCUUUCGACGGUAGUGUAGUGGACUACCGUGGCGUUAACGGGUAACGGAGAAUUAGGGUUCGAUUCCGGAGAGGGAGCCUGAGAAACGGCUACCACA